rnacentral:ncRNA from 2 species
CUUAAUUUUAGUCCUUCAGGUGUAUAAAGCAUAAUAGGGAAUCCCGUGGAAUUCGGGAACGGACCCACCGCUGUAAUCGGGGACGAACACUGCAUGAAUGUCACUGUUUCUCUCUAGAGAAAUGGGAAGGCGCAGUUAGUAGAAAGAACCGAAAGUCAGAAGACCUGCCUGAAUGAUUGGUUUUAU